rnacentral:rRNA from 1 species
AUGUUGACAGCCAGCAGGCAAUUCUCUGUUAGAUCACUCUACCACUCCCUAGUUAAAAUUGAUGUGGGAUUCCCACACAAGUAUCUCUGGAAGAUCAAAAUCCCAGCAAAAAUUAAAAUGUUCCUCUGGCUCAUUGCCAGAAAAAGUGUAGCGACUAAGGAUAAUCUAAUCAAAAAGGGGUGGAAAGAGAAACAGGGGUGUGUCUACUGCGGUCAGAAUGAAACCAUUGAUCAUUUGUUUUUUACAUGCUCAGCUGCUAAACUCUUGUGGAGCCUGAUCAAAUGCUCAUUUAAUCUGAAAACCUCUCCUAGGGGGGUUGAUGAUUGUCUGGGGCCUUGGGUUAGAAACUUUGUGGAUAGAGAAAGAAAACUAGUGUUAGUGGGAACCUCUGCUCUCAUGUGGACGAUUUGA